rnacentral:lncRNA from 1 species
GUAACAUUUCCCAGCGCUGCCACAGGCGCGUCUCGCCCUGUCCAACGCGGAGCCCGAAGAAUUACUAAGAAACCGAGGUCUGAAGGAGGGAAGAGGUGACGGGCUCGAGGCCACACGGUGGGCCAGGCUGGGCCCGGCUGCACGCCGGCUACCGGGGCCCAGCCCUCUGCACGCCUCCCGCAGCCUCAGUUUCCCUGUCCGUGGUACUGAGGAUGCUCGGGCCUAGAAGUUCAGGGCUGGAGGCCCAGGGACCGUCGAGGGAGGGGCAUCAUCCCCGCCAUGGGGCCGCCGCAACUGCCCAGAGCACAGGCCAAAGGUGCGUGCCACGGGGCUACUGGCGUUGUGGACGCUGCCCCUGCCUCCCCAUCCCCCGCAGGAAACAGCCUUGUGACCGUGACUAACGCACCUUUGCCGGGGUAGAGGGGCAAGGGCCCCUGCUACCGUUUGCCACACACUGCCCCAUGUCCCUCACUGCUCCCGUCCUUCCUAGAAGUGAGGUGCUGAUACAUAUAAAAAUUAUGGAUCCCAUUUUAUGGGACAUGAGCUGAAACAGGAGGUUUCCUGGGCUGCCAGGGGCUUAGGAAAUCCAGUGCCUGAUACACAGGAAAUGCUUCUAUGUGGGGAGUUCACAGUCUUCCAGAAGCAAAAAUGUUUUUUGGUUUUUUUUUUGAGACGGAGUCUUGCUCAGUCGCCCAGGCUGGAGUGCAGUGGCACGAUCUCGGCUCACUGCAACCUCCGCCUCCCGGGUUCACGCCAUUCUGCUGCCUCAGCCUCCCGAGUAGCUAGGACUACAGACGCCCGCCACGACGCCUGGCUAAUUUUUUUUUUUUUUUUUUUUUUUUUUUUGUAUUUUUAGUAGAGACGGGGUUUCAUCGUGUUAGCCAGGAUGGUCUCGAUCUCCUGACCUCGUGAUCCGCCCGCCUCGGCCUCCCAAAGUGCUGGGAUUACAGGAGUGAGCCACCGCGCCCGGCCGCAAAAAUCUUUUAGAGUGUGUACUUGGCUGAACUUGCUCCACGCAAAAUGGUCUUAUUUAAGGAUAAAAAUGAAAGGGGACUUUUGUAAGGCUGCUGUGGCGACAGGCCUGGAAGUUGACCUGCAGGGAGGUAGGAGAGACCAAGGCCCCUGGGACGGAGGCCGGCCACUGGAUGUUUGAAAGGCUGAGAAGCCAAGGGCUUCAAUCUGGGGAGGCCGUUUGGAUAAAGGAGCCAAGGACUUUCUCUAAAAAUACCGGCUCACAGGGAGGUGGGGCCAUGCCAAUGGCCUGCCCAGGUGACAAGCCCUUUGUCCCACUGUCCCCUGGCACCAGUCUGGUAAUCUCAAAGGAAUGCCAGAAAUCUGGCCAGGAGGAAGGGACACUAAAGUAAGGAGUGGCCCUCUAUAAUUUGAAAUAACUCUUUCUGGCAUCUGCUGGCUUUUGUUAGGAAAAGCCUCAGACAUUUUUAUGGGAUCACAGUUCCCUGUGGGAGGAAGAGGUUGCCUCAAGGCCAGGCAUGGUGGCUUAUGGCUGUAAUCCCAGCACUUUGGGAGGCCAAGGCAGGAGGAUCACUUGAGCCAGGAGUUUGAGACCAGCCUGGCCAACAUAACAAGACUCUGUCUCGCCGGGCGAGGUGGCUCAUGCCUGUAACCCCAGCACUUUGGGAGGCCGAGGUGGGCGGAUCACAAGGUCAGGAGUUCGAGACCAUUCCGGCUAACACGGUGAAACCCCAUCUCUACUAAAAAUACAAAAAAAAUUAGCCGGGCGUAGGUGGUGCAUGCCUGUAGUCCCAGCUACUCGGGAGGCUGAGGCAGGAGAAUGGCAUAAAACCCAGGAAGCGGAGGUUGCAGUGAGCCGAGAUCGCGCCACUGCACUACAGAC